AAGGCCUGUAAUAAUCUAAAAUACAUCUUCUGAUUGCAACUCAAACACUUUUAUUAAGCUAAGACCUUC
rnacentral:tRNA from 1 species